UGAUUUUCAGGCCACACUGGCAUUGCCACU
rnacentral:piRNA from 1 species